UUCGGGGAGGACAGGUGGUGCAUGGUUGUCGUCAGCUCGUGUCGUGAGAUGUUGGGUUUAAGUCCCGCAACGAGCGCAACCCCUAUUGCUAGUUACCAUCAUUAAGUUUGGGGACUCUAGCGAGACUGCCAGUGAUAAACUGGAGGAAGGUGGGGAUGACGUCAAAUCAUCAUGCCCCUUAUGACCUGGGCUACAAACGUGAUACAAUGGCUGGAACAAAGGGAUGCGAAGCAGUGAUGUGGAGCGAAACCCAUAAAAACAGUCUCAGUUCGGAUUAAAGUCUGCAACUCGACUUCAUGAAGUCGGAAUCGCUAGUAAUCGCGGAUCAGAACGCCGCGGUGAAUACGUUCUCGGGGUUU
rnacentral:rRNA from 1 species